rnacentral:rRNA from 1 species
UUAAGCGACUAAGCGUACACGGUGGAUGCCCUGGCAGUCAGAGGCGAUGAAGGACGUGCUAAUCUGCGAUAAGCGUCGGUAAGGUGAUAUGAACCGUUAUAACCGGCGAUUUCCGAAUGGGGAAACCCAGUGUGAUUCGUCACACUAUCAUUAACUGAAUCCAUAGGUUAAUGAGGCGAACCGGGGGAACUGAAACAUCUAAGUACCCCGAGGAAAAGAAAUCAACCGAGAUUCCCCCAGUAGCGGCGAGCGAACGGGGAGCAGCCCAGAGCCUGAAUCAGUGUGUGUGUUAGUGGAAGCGUCUGGAAAGGCGCGCGAUACAGGGUGACAGCCCCGUACACAAAAAUGCACAUACUGUGAGCUCGAUGAGUAGGGCGGGACACGUGGUAUCCUGUCUGAAUAUGGGGGGACCAUCCUCCAAGGCUAAAUACUCCUGACUGACCGAUAGUGAACCAGUACCGUGAGGGAAAGGCGAAAAGAACCCCGGCGAGGGGAGUGAAAAAGAACCUGAAACCGUGUACGUACAAGCAGUGGGAGCACGCUUCGGCGUGUGACUGCGUACCUUUUGUAUAAUGGGUCAGCGACUUAUAUUCUGUAGCAAGGUUAACCGAAUAGGGGAGCCGAAGGGAAACCGAGUCUUAACUGGGCGUUAAGUUGCAGGGUAUAGACCCGAAACCCGGUGAUCUAGCCAUGGGCAGGUUGAAGGUUGGGUAACACUAACUGGAGGACCGAACCGACUAAUGUUGAAAAAUUAGCGGAUGACUUGUGGCUGGGGGUGAAAGGCCAAUCAAACCGGGAGAUAGCUGGUUCUCCCCGAAAGCUAUUUAGGUAGCGCCUCGUGAAUUCAUCUCCGGGGGUAGAGCACUGUUUCGGCAAGGGGGUCAUCCCGACUUACCAACCCGAUGCAAACUGCGAAUACCGGAGAAUGUUAUUACGGGAGACACACGGCGGGUGCUAACGUCCGUCGUGAAGAGGGAAACAACCCAGACCGCCAGCUAAGGUCCCAAAGUCAUGGUUAAGUGGGAAACGAUGUGGGAAGGCCCAGACAGCCAGGAUGUUGGCUUAGAAGCAGCCAUCAUUUAAAGAAAGCGUAAUAGCUCACUGGUCGAGUCGGCCUGCGCGGAAGAUGUAACGGGGCUAAACCAUGCACCGAAGCUGCGGCAGCGACACUAUGUGUUGUUGGGUAGGGGAGCGUUCUGUAAGCCUGUGAAGGUGUGCUGUGAGGCAUGCUGGAGGUAUCAGAAGUGCGAAUGCUGACAUAAGUAACGAUAAAGCGGGUGAAAAGCCCGCUCGCCGGAAGACCAAGGGUUCCUGUCCAACGUUAAUCGGGGCAGGGUGAGUCGACCCCUAAGGCGAGGCCGAAAGGCGUAGUCGAUGGGAAACAGGUUAAUAUUCCUGUACUUGGUGUUACUGCGAAGGGGGGACGGAGAAGGCUAUGUUGGCCGGGCGACGGUUGUCCCGGUUUAAGCGUGUAGGCUGAUUUUCCAGGCAAAUCCGGAAAAUCAAGGCUGAGGCGUGAUGACGAGGCACUACGGUGCUGAAGCAACAAAUGCCCUGCUUCCAGGAAAAGCCUCUAAGCAUCAGGUAACAUCAAAUCGUACCCCAAACCGACACAGGUGGUCAGGUAGAGAAUACCAAGGCGCUUGAGAGAACUCGGGUGAAGGAACUAGGCAAAAUGGUGCCGUAACUUCGGGAGAAGGCACGCUGAUAUGUAGGUGAAGCGACUUGCUCGUGGAGCUGAAAUCAGUCGAAGAUACCAGCUGGCUGCAACUGUUUAUUAAAAACACAGCACUGUGCAAACACGAAAGUGGACGUAUACGGUGUGACGCCUGCCCGGUGCCGGAAGGUUAAUUGAUGGGGUUAGCGGUAACGCGAAGCUCUUGAUCGAAGCCCCGGUAAACGGCGGCCGUAACUAUAACGGUCCUAAGGUAGCGAAAUUCCUUGUCGGGUAAGUUCCGACCUGCACGAAUGGCGUAAUGAUGGCCAGGCUGUCUCCACCCGAGACUCAGUGAAAUUGAACUCGCUGUGAAGAUGCAGUGUACCCGCGGCAAGACGGAAAGACCCCGUGAACCUUUACUAUAGCUUGACACUGAACAUUGAGCCUUGAUGUGUAGGAUAGGUGGGAGGCUUUGAAGUGUGGACGCCAGUCUGCAUGGAGCCGACCUUGAAAUACCACCCUUUAAUGUUUGAUGUUCUAACGUUGACCCGUGAUCCGGGUUGCGGACAGUGUCUGGUGGGUAGUUUGACUGGGGCGGUCUCCUCCUAAAGAGUAACGGAGGAGCACGAAGGUUGGCUAAUCCUGGUCGGACAUCAGGAGGUUAGUGCAAUGGCAUAAGCCAGCUUGACUGCGAGCGUGACGGCGCGAGCAGGUGCGAAAGCAGGUCAUAGUGAUCCGGUGGUUCUGAAUGGAAGGGCCAUCGCUCAACGGAUAAAAGGUACUCCGGGGAUAACAGGCUGAUACCGCCCAAGAGUUCAUAUCGACGGCGGUGUUUGGCACCUCGAUGUCGGCUCAUCACAUCCUGGGGCUGAAGUAGGUCCCAAGGGUAUGGCUGUUCGCCAUUUAAAGUGGUACGCGAGCUGGGUUUAGAACGUCGUGAGACAGUUCGGUCCCUAUCUGCCGUGGGCGCUGGAGAACUGAGGGGGGCUGCUCCUAGUACGAGAGGACCGGAGUGGACGCAUCACUGGUGUUCGGGUUGUCAUGCCAAUGGCACUGCCCGGUAGCUAAAUGCGGAAGAGAUAAGUGCUGAAAGCAUCUAAGCACGAAACUUGCCCCGAGAUGAGUUCUCCCUGACUCCUUGAGAGUCCUGAAGGAACGUUGAAGACGACGACGUUGAUAGGCCGGGUGUGUAAGCGCAGCGAUGCGUUGAGCUAACCGGUACUAAUGAACCGUGAGGCUUAACCUU